rnacentral:misc_RNA from 1 species
GGAAUAAAAGUCGUAACAAGGUUUCCGUAGGUGAACCUGCGGAAGGAUCAUUGCCACACACGAUCCAAGAUCGACACUAAAUAUGUGAAUUGUUUUACUGUAUUUUAAUUUGUGUAAGGUUGGAUUUUUAAUCAAACUUUUCACAUUUAAAACAAACACCAAAAAUAUAAUUUGAAUAAUACAAAUUGGAACUUAAAUGUUAUUAUAAAGUCUGUCUUUAUAUAACGCUAGAUUGAAAAUUGUAAACAACUUUUAACAACGGAUAUCUAGGUUCUU